rnacentral:rRNA from 1 species
GAUGAACGCUAGCGGCAGGCCUAAUACAUGCAAGUCGAGGGGCAGCGCGGUAGCAAUACUGGCGGCGACCGGCGCACGGGUGCGUAACGCGUAUGGAACUUACCCUUUACUAGGGGAUAGCCCGGAGAAAUUCGGAUUAAUACCUUAUAGUAUGAUUGACUGGCAUCAGUUGGUUAUUAAAGAUUUAUCGGUAAAGGAUAGGCAUGCGUAUGAUUAGCUAGUUGGCGGGGUAAUGGCCCACCAAGGCGAUGAUCAUUAGGGGGUCUGAGAGGAUGAUCCCCCACACUGGUACUGAGAUACGGACCAGACUCCUACGGGAGGCAGCAGUAGGGAAUAUUGGACAAUGGGCGAGAGCCUGAUCCAGCCAUGCCGCGUGC